AAUAGAUACCCGGGUAUCCACGCCGUAAACGAUGAGUGCUAAGUGUUAGAGGGUUUCCGCCCUUUAGUGCUGCAGCUAACGCAUUAAGCACUCCGCCUGGGGAGUACGGUCGCAAGACUGAAACUCAAAGGAAUUGACGGGGGCCCGCACAAGCGGUGGAGCAUGUGGUUUAAUUCGAAGCAACGCGAAGAACCUUACCAGGUCUUGACAUCCCACUGACCGGUAUAGAGAUAUACCUUUCCCUUCGGGGACAGUGGUGACAGGUGGUGCAUGGUUGUCGUCAGCUCGUGUCGUGAGAUGUUGGGUUAAGUCCCGCAACGAGCGCAACCCUUGAUCUUAGUUGCCAGCAUUUAGUUGGGCACUCUAAGGUGACUGCCGGUGACAAACCGGAGGAAGGUGGGGAUGACGUCAAAUCAUCAUGCCCCUUAUGACCUGGGCUACACACGUGCUACAAUGGAUGGUACAAAGGGCUGCAAGACUGCGAAGUCAAGCCAAUCCCAUAAAACCAUUCUCAGUUCGGAUUGCAGG
rnacentral:rRNA from 1 species